UUUAAACUGAAGAGUUUGAUCCUGGCUCAGAUUGAACGCUGGCGGUAUGCUUAACACAUGCAAGUCGAACGGUAGCGCGGAGAGCUUGCUCUCUGGCGACGAGUGGCGGACGGGUGCGUAACGCGUGGGAAUCUACCUUUUAGUGGGGGAUAGCCCGGAGAAAUCCGGAUUAAUACCGCAUAAUCUCUACGGAGCAAAGUGGGGGAUCUUCGGACCUCACGCUAUUAGAUGGGCCCGCGUUAGAUUAGCUUGUUGGUGAGGUAAUGGCUCACCAAGGCAACGCUCUAUAGCUGGUUUGAGAGGAUGAUCAGCCACACUGGGACUGAGACACGGCCCAGACUCCUACGGGAGGCAGCAGUGGGGAAUAUUGGACAAUGGGCGCAAGCCUGAUCCAG
rnacentral:rRNA from 2 species